rnacentral:rRNA from 1 species
GCAUGGGUAGAGAGGGUAAGACUUGGCAUACUGCUCAGUAACACGUGGACAACCUACCCUGAAGAGGGGGAUAACCCCGGGAAACUGGGGAUAAUACCCCAUAGACUAUGGAUGCUGGAAUGCUUUGUAGUUGAAAGGUCCGCCGCUUCAGGAUGGGUCUGCGGCCGAUUAGGUUGUUGUUGGGGUAACGGCCCAACAAGCCUGUAAUCGGUACGGGUUGUGGGAGCCAGAGCCCGGAGAUGGAUUCUGAGACACGAAUCCAGGCCCUACCGGUGCAGAGGGCGGAAAACUUUACAAUGCGAGCAUCGUGCAUAAGGGAACUCCAGGGCCCUUAAACUCGGGCUGUCCGGCAGUUUAAAUGGCUGAGAAGCA